rnacentral:lncRNA from 1 species
UUUUUUUUAUAUUACCGCUUCCCGCAUCCGGAAUUGUAAUCAUGUCCAUUUCCCGCACCGUUUUUUUUUUGUAAAUAUUAUAAAAAGAUAUCAACAUUUGUUAAAUUUAUCACAAUCUAACCUGUAUAUAACGAUUUUAAACAUAAAAGCACCCCACCACACUGUGUAAAUAUCUGUGAGAAUAUUUGUUUCAGCAUGAAACCUGGAGUGCUCCGAUAAAAAGUUUUAACAGCGGGUAUUUCCGUGAAGAACAAAAAAUUGGUUUCUUUCCCCCUUACUUAUAUUUCCUAUCAAAAAAUGAUCGUUGUUAGAAUAAAGUACGAAGAACUUCUGAAGGAUUUGCCUUCAACUGCAAUUAUAUUGUAUGCUGGCGAAACAAAACUAUCCAUAGCCGCUGCAUGUUUAUGCACCUGUCCUGAUUGAUUCAGGAGCAUGUC